rnacentral:rRNA from 1 species
GAUGAACGCUGGCGGCGUGCCUAAUACAUGCAAGUCGAGCGAACAGACGAGGAGCUUGCUCCUCUGACGUUAGCGGCGGACGGGUGAGUAACACGUGGAUAACCUACCUAUAAGACUGGGAUAACUUCGGGAAACCGGAGCUAAUACCGGAUAAUAUAUUGAACCGCAUGGUUCAAUAGUGAAAGACGGUUUUGCUGUCACUUAUAGAUGGAUCCGCGCCGCAUUAGCUAGUUGGUAAGGUAACGGCUUACCAAGGCAACGAUGCGUAGCCGACCUGAGAGGGUGAUCGGCCACACUGGAACUGAGACACGGUCCAGACUCCUACGGGAGGCAGCAGUAGGGAAUCUUCCGCAAUGGGCGAAAGCCUGACGGAGCAACGCCGCGUGAGUGAUGAAGGUCUUCGGAUCGUAAAACUCUGUUAUUAGGGAAGAACAAAUGUGUAAGUAACUAUGCACGUCUGGACGGUACCUAAUCAGAAAGCCACGGCUAACUACGG